rnacentral:rRNA from 1 species
AGAUUGAACGCUGGCGGCAUGCUUUACACAUGCAAGCCGAACGGUAACAGGCCGCAAGGUGCUGACGAGUGGCGAACGGGUGAGUAAUGCAUCGGAACGUGCCCAGUCGUGGGGGAUAACGCAGCGAAAGCUGUGCGUAAUACCGCAUACGAUCUAUGGAUGGAAAGCGGGGGACCGAAAGGCCUCGCGCGAUUGGAGCGGCCGAUGGUCAGUAUUAGCUAGUUGGGUGGGUAAAGGCCCACCGAAGGCGACGAUCUGUAGCUGGUCUGAGAGGACGACCAGCCACACUGGAACUGACGACACGGUCCAGACUCCGUACGGGACGCAG